rnacentral:snRNA from 1 species
GUGCUUGCUUCAGCAGCACAUAGACCAAAAUUGGAACAAUACAGAGAUUAGCAUGGCCCCUGAGCAAGAAUGACAUGCAAAUUCAUGAAGUGUUAAAAAAAAAA